rnacentral:lncRNA from 1 species
GUUCCACUGGGUAAGAUGAAGACACUCUCCCAUUCGUAGCAGCAGCUUCUUGAUAGAGAAUCAGUUUCUGAGUCAUACCAUUUAAAAGAUUCAAACACUCCCUUGAAAUGGCUGUCCAAUUGUGGGGAUGUCCACCUGGUUGGCUGAGGCUGAAAACUUCUUGUCUUCGUGAAGGAGAAUAUUGAGAAAGCAACAUCAGGUCCUGCAAGGCUAAAUACUAACAG